CCUAGAAUUCUCUUAUCUAGUGAUGAGGCAUCAUCUUCAAAAACAGAAUCAGAUGAUGUUGCUUUGCCCGUACCACCUCCACCUCCUCCGUUGCCAGAUUCUGGAAGAUUAGGCUCUGGGGAUGGCUCUGUCAUCCCUGCAUCUUUGCCUCUACCACCUCCACCUCCCCCGCCAAAGCCCCCAACGUCUGCUGGUGCAAACUUGGGUAUGUCAUUGCCUCCACCACCUUUACCACCACCACCUCCUGGUCCCCCACCCAAAGAUCUAGUUGCAGGUCAACCUCCGCUUCCUCCUUCCCAACCCCUCCAACAGUCGGUGCAGCCACCCCCACCUGGCAUGAGUGGAAGUGAAAGGGAGGGAAGUCUGUCUGCAUUGUCAGAUGACUCAAUCU
rnacentral:lncRNA from 1 species